GAGUUUGAUCCUGGCCAGGAUGAACGCUAGCGGCAGGCUUAACACAUGCAAGUCGAGGGGUAUAUGUCUUCGGAUAUAGAGACCGGCGCACGGGUGCGUAACGCGUAUGCAAUCUACCUUUUACAGGGGGAUAGCCCAGAGAAAUUUGGAUUAAUACCCCAUAGUAUACAGAGUUGGCAUCAGCCUUGUAUUAAAGUCACAACGGUAAAAGAUGAGCAUGCGUCCCAUUAGCUAGUUGGUAAGGUAACGGCUUACCAAGGCUACGAUGGGUAGGGGUCCUGAGAGGGAGAUCCCCCACACUGGUACUGAGACACGGACCAGACUCCUACGGGAGGCAGCAGUGAGGAAUAUUGGACAAUGGGCGCAAGCCUGAUCCAGCCAUGCCGCGUGCAGGAUGACGGUCCUAUGGAUUGUAAACUGCUUUUGUACGAGAAGAAACACUGCUUCGUGAAGCAGCUUGACGGUAUCGUAAGAAUAAGGAUCGGCUAACUCCGUGCCAGCAGCGCGGUAA
rnacentral:rRNA from 1 species